rnacentral:rRNA from 1 species
AUUACCCAAUACGGACACGGGGAGGUAGUGACAAGAAAUAACAAUACAGGGCAAUUGUCUUGUAAUUGGAAUGAUGGUGACGUAAAAUCUCACCAGAGUAACAAUUGGAGGGCAAGUCUGGUGCCAGCAGCCGCGGUAAUUCCAGCUCCAAUAGCGUAUAUUAAACUUGUUGCAGUUAAAAAGCUCGUAGUUGAAUUUCUGCGUUGCCCGACUCGGCUACUUGCCUUGUCUGGUUUCGCUUUUGGGGUUUUCCCCUUUUUACUUUGAGAAAAUUAGAGUGUUUCAAGCAGACUUGUGUCUUGAAUACUUCAGCAUGGAAUAAUAAAGUAGGACUUUGGUUCUAUUUUGUUGGUUUGUGAACCUUAGUAAUGGUUAAUAGGAACGGUUGGGGGCAUUCGUAUUUAA